AUGUCGAACUCUCCAUAUUCUGCGGGUACUGCAGGAACAAAGAGGCGCCAAGCAAAGCCUAAAAGCGACAAUGAGAAUAUAAUUGAGGAGAGCAAUGUUACCACCAACAUUGGUCACGAUACCAUUGGCUGCAAAAGAACAAAGAGAGAAGUUGCCCGUUCGAAUUUCAAUGAGAAGGCAUUUGACUUACUUGAAGAAGAUUCACUUGUCACAACCAAGGAAAUCAGAACUGAGGAGGAAGCAGAGGCAGUUAGGUUGACAAGAACAGGACCUGAAGAUGGGAAAUGCUGCAGAAAACUCAUCGAUUUCAUCCUGCAUGGUAAAGAUGAUAAUCUGCAACCAUUUGAAAUGUCUCAGAGUGAUGGUGUCUCCAUGACAGCUCUUGUCAUGCCAUUUGAUGCUCAUAUCGAAAAGGACAGGAAAAAGGGUAUACGAUGUGUCAAAUUUGGGCGUAUCAAGGGAUGGGCAGUUUCCGGCUAUAAGGAAGGCGCCGCGGUAAUUUCGCUCUCAACAGAACUAGCUGACUAUAUAUGUGUGAAGGCCACAAGAAGCUACAGGUCUCAUUUUGACCUUUUCAGCCAGAAAGCUCAUGUUUGUGUUGAAGUUUACAGGGAGUUAGCUAGAUCGGUUGGCGGAAACCCUUUGCUGAGCCUAGAAGAGCUGCUUGCCGGUGUUGUCAGUUCCAUUAAUUUGAGCAGUGGCUUCAAUGGAAGAGUGAGAAAGGAAUUUGUGAUAUCCAUCGGUGAGUUCGUACAUAACCAGCUCACAGCACUGGAUCAUGCAGCAAACAACGAUGAUGAGAUGUUGUUGACGCUGCCUGCUCUUGUGGCACUAAGAAAUGAGUGUAAAUCUAACGUGGGAUUCAGCAAGCUGGCAGCUUUGGCCUCACAUGAAACUUUGAUGAUCAAGGAUGGGCGGUGCAAGGAGGUGCAGGUGACCGAGAACGAGGAUGAAGAAGAGAAACUAGCAAGGUUGUUGCAAGAAGUGGAAGAGUGGAAUAUGAAGAAGCCGAGAGCCAAGAGUGGAAGUUCACAGAAAAUUAAAAAUGCCUACAUCAAGAUCAGUGAAGCUGAGAUUGCCAAUGACUACCCACUGCCAGCAUACUAUACACCAUGCGAUAUAGAAAAGGAUGAGUACAUGUUUGGCAGUGAAGAUGGCAUGCUGCCAGUAAGAAUACUCAACAACUGGGCUCUAUAUAAUUCAGAUUUCAAAUUCAUGUCUUUGGAGCUCAUCCCUAUGGAACCAGGUGCUAAAAAUGAUACUGUUAUCUUUGGGUCUGGUUGUAUGAGAGACGAUGAUGGUACUUUCUGUUCAACAGCUGAGCCAGCAGAGUUAUCUUCUUCCUCGAGUAAAUCUGACCAGGAAGAUCAAGGGAUUCCGGUUUACCUAAGCCCAAUCAAGGAAUGGCUUGUAGAAUCUUGUGGCUCGAUGAUCUGCAUAUCUAUUCAAACCGACAUAGCUUGCUACAAGUUACUCCAGCCAACGAAGCAGUAUGCGCCAUGGUGUGCCACUGUCCUUAAAACAGCAAGAUUGACUGUUAGUAUCAUCGCCAUUUUAAAAGAACAAACUCGCGCUUCAAAACUUUCCUUCGCUGAUGUUACCAAGAGAGUAGCAGAAUUUGAGAGUGGGCAUCAUGCAUUCAUUUCAACAGAUGCAACACUUGUUGAAAGAUAUGUUGUGGUGCAUGGACAGAUAGUCCUUCAACAGUUCGCAAAUUAUACAGAUGAGUCCAUUCGACGGUGCGCCUUUGUCACAGGCCUUAUCAAGAAGAUGAAAGAAAGAGGGCAGAUGAAGCUAGCAACAAAGAAGAAAUCUCAAGCGGCGAGAGGAGAGAAUCUGAACCCAAGUGCAAAAAUGGCCCGAAUAUCAAAACAAAAUCUUAUGCGUGCGACAACCACAAAGUUGGUCAGCAGGAUAUGGGAUGAUUACGAUGCAACCCAUUUCCCAGAGGAUUCAAAGGAGGGGGGUGAGAAUGAUGAGCAAAAGGUAUUUGAGGAGGAACAAGAAGAAAAUGAAGAAGAUGAUGUUGAGGGGGUGGUUGAAGUUGGCGAGGGACAUGUUUCAAGGACCUCGCCAUCAACAAGGUCUAGAAAUACGUCAUCAGAUGCUUGUGAAGAAAUAGAAUGGAAAGGUCAAACAGUUGGGAAAACACCAUCUGGAGAAGCUCUGUACAGAAGUGUGAGAUUUGGAGAUCUCAGUGUUGCUGUUGGUGGGGCACUCACAUUGGAUGGUCAUUCAGGAGAAGCCAUCAUGUGUUUUGUUGAGUACAUGUAUGAGACACAUGAUGGCACACAGAUGAUCCAUGGUAGAGUUCUGCAAAAUGGUUCAGACACUGUCCUGGGCAAUGCUGCAAAUGAACGAGAGGUGUUCUUUACCAAUGAUUGUUUAGAGUCCAAAGUAGGUGACAUGAGAGAAUCAUUGACUGUCAAUGUCCAGCAGAUUCCCUGGGGCCACAAGUGCAGAAAAGAGCAGUUGGAAGCUAUUAGGGUGGAGAGGGCCAGGGCAGAGGAGAGGAAGAAGAAGGGUUUGCCAUUGGAGUACAUCUGCAAAAGCAUGUACUGUCCUGAGAAAGGUGCCUUUUUCUCCCUCCCUUAUGAGAAAAUGGGCGCCGGAACCGGCACUUGCAGUUCUUGUGAGGAGCGACAAGCGGUCCGUGAUGAGUUCAAAAUAUUGUCAGAGACCAGCUUUGUCCUCAAGAAUGUCAAAUACAAUGUUCACGACUUCCUGUAUAUCAGGCCUCAGUUUUUCUCUCCCGUCGAGGGUCGUGGGACCUACAGGGCUAGAAGAAAUGUGGGCCUGAAGCCCUAUGUGGUAUGUCGUUUGCAGAGUGUCAAUGCUGCUGCUGGAUCUCGUAAAGCUAAUCUGAAAUCAACAAAAGUCAGUGUAAGAAGGCUAUACAGGCCUGAUGAUAUUUCAUCGGAUAAAGCUUACUCUUCAGAUAUCAGAGAGGUGUACUACAGUGAAGAUAUAGUUAGUGUGCCUGUUGGGAUGAUAGAGGGAAAAUGUGAGGUUACAGCAAAGGAUGACCUUCCAAAUUCAAAUCUUCCAGUAGUAGUUGAGCACGCCUUUUACUGUGAACAUUUAUAUGAUCCUGGCACUGAAACUCUCAAGCAGCUACCGACCAAUGUUAAGCUCACCCUGGCAAGGAAGGCGCCUGCUUCGAGAAAGAAUAAAGGGAAGCAGAUUUGUGAUGAUGAGCAAGCCGGUUCGGAUAAACACAAGGAUGAAACACAAGAGAACUGUCUUGCAACCCUUGAUAUUUUUGCUGGCUGUGGAGGUUUGUCUGAAGGGCUGCACCUAGCUGGCGCUUCACGUACAAAAUGGGCGAUCGAGUAUGAAGAACCUGCUGCGCAAGCAUUUCUUCAAAAUCAUCCUGAAGCAGCAGUGUUUGUGGAGAACUGCAAUGUGAUUCUGAAGGCGAUAAUGGAUAAGUGUGGCGAUGUUGAUGACUGCGUCUCCACUCCCGAGGCUUCUGCGGGAGCAGCAGAACUUUCAGAUGAGAAGGUUAAGAAUCUCCCUGUGCCCGGUGAAGUAGAAUUCAUCAAUGGUGGCCCUCCAUGCCAGGGGUUCUCCUGGAUGAACAGAUUCAAGCAGAGCCCAUGGAGCAAGGUUCAGUGCGAGAUGAUUCCGGCAUUCCUGUCCUUCGCAGAGUAUUUCCGGCCUAGGUUCUUCCUUUUGGAAAACGUCAGGAACUUUGUUUCGUUUAACAAGGGCCAGACCUUCAGACUGACACUAGCAUCGCUCCUCGAGAUGGGGUACCAGGUUCGAUUCGGCAUUCUAGAGGCGGGUGCUUAUGGCGUCGCGCAGUCCAGGAAAAGGGCGUUCAUCUGGGCCGCCGCGCCUGGGGAGACUCUUCCUGACUGGCCUGAACCAAUGCAUGUCUUCGCUAGCCCUGAGCUGAAAAUAAAACUGCCAGGAGGUAAAUACUAUGCUGCUGCCAGGAGCACAGCUGGAGGAGCUCCUUUCCGCUCUAUGACAGUCAGGGAUACAAUCGGCGAUCUUCCACCGGUGGAGAAUGGCGCCAGCAACCCAACAAUAAAGUACGGAGGCGAGCCCAUCUCCUGGUUCCAGAAGAAGAUUCGAGGCGAUACGCUUUCGCUGAGUGACCACAUAUCCAAAAAGAUGAACGAGCUGAAUCUCAUAAGGUGCAAGCACAUCCCAAAGCGCCCUGGCUGUGACUGGCAUGACCUGCCAGAUGAGAAGGUGAAGCUAUCCAGAGGGAAAACGGUGGAUUUGAUCCCUAGGUGCAUGCUCAAAACAGCCAAGACGAACAAUCAGUGGAAAGGCCUGUGUGGGAGGCUGGACUGGGAGGGCAACUUCCCCACAUCAGUCACAGAUCCCCAGCCAAUGCGCAGGGUCGGCAUGUGCUUCCACCCUGAUCAGGACAGGAUCAUCACUGUUCGUGAAUGUGCGCGAUCCCAGGGCUUCCCUGAUGGCUACCAUUUCGCUGGCAACAUCCAGAGCAAGCACAGGCAGAUCGGGAAUGCGGUACCACCUCCCCUUGCAUACGCGCUAGGGAGGAAGCUCAAGCAAGCCAUCGAUGCCAAGCUGCCUAAGUUAACUGAAGACAUGAUCCAAGUGGGACUUAAUUUACAACUGGGCCCUAUAUAA
rnacentral:rRNA from 1 species